CACGUAGGGGGCGAGCGUUGUCCGGAAUCACUGGGCGUAAAGCGACCGCAGGCGGCCUGACAAGUCGGAUGUGAAAGCCCUGGGCUCAACUCAGGAAUUGCAUUCGAAACUGGCAGGCUCGAGUACGGGAGAGGGGGGUGGAAUUCCUGGUGUAGGGGUGAAAUUCGUUGAUAUCAGGAGGAACACCGGCGGCGAAGGCGGCCCCCUGGCCCGCAACUGACGCUCAUGGUCGAAAGCGUGGGGAGCAAACAGG
rnacentral:rRNA from 1 species